GUGAUGAUAAAUACGUGGGGCCUACGAAAGAUGAGUAAGGUCUGGAGCUCUGA
rnacentral:snoRNA from 1 species